UUUAAAGGUAUGUAUUUUUGGGAAAUGUCCCCAAAUGAAAUCAUACGAUAAUAUGAUAUUGUAGAGAAGGUAGAUAGGGGAGGGAUCGGACGAUUUCCGUUUGAACAGCGGAGCGGCGCGGCGCCUGGUCAGUAACCAACGAUUAAUUAUAGGAAUUGGAAAAAGCCAAGUCUGUUGCAGGUUUGCAACCAAACACAAGAACACUACAAACACGAUUCCUGCGAGUCAUCGAGCCGCGGAAAACGUCGUUUAGGAUUUGGUGGGAAUGGUUAAAACCAAGCACCAAAAGUCCAACUCUAAGCGACAACCCCAAAACAAAAAGCCUGGAAAGGCAGCUGAUAUUUCUCAGUUUCGUGCUCAGCUUGACUUAUUGGGCCUCCAAAUUGUUCAAGUGACUGCAGAUGGUAAUUGCUUUUUCAGGGGCCUUGCAGAUCAGUUAGAUGGUGAUCAAGAGGAACAUGAAAAGUAUCGGAAGAUGGUUGUGCAGUAUAUUUUGAAGAACCGUGAAAUGUUUGAGCCAUUCAUUGAGGAUGAUGUCCCAUUUGAUGAAUAUUGUGACUCCAUGGAAAAGGAUGGUACCUGGGCUGGACAUCUCGAAUUGCAGGCUGCUUCUCUUGUUACUCAUAGUAAUAUAUGCAUUCACCGGAUGUCAUCACCACGUUGGUACAUACGAAAUUUUGACGAUCGAGAAGCUCGUAUGGUCCACUUGUCUUAUCACGAUGAGGAACAUUACAAUAGUGUGCGGUUGAAGGAAGACACGUGUGCUGGUCCAGCCAGGCCAAUCAUAAUCAAAGGUGAUGCUGUUCCUUCAGCAAAUUCACUUCAAGCAAAAGUUCUCGCCUCUAAUUUUCAAAAGAGAGGCGAAAGUGCUAUAAGUCCUGGAAUUGUCAAAGUAGUUAUGGCAGGUAGUGGUUGUGAAAAUUCUAGAAAAGUUGAAAAGGUUUUGGUACAAGUCAGUGGUGAUGUUGAUGCUGCAAUAGAGUUUCUCAUAGCAGAACAAGCGGCAGAAGAAAACGAAGAGCCAACUGAAUCAUCUAUGCGCCAUAUGGAUUCCUCAUUCGGUGUUGAUGAAAAAAGGAACGAUGAGCAAUUGGAAGAACAAACAGAAGAGAAUCACAAUAAAAUUGAUUCGUGUAGCAACAGCACUAAACAUUCUAAUUGUAGCAGUUCUCAAUCAGAUGACAAGAAGAUCCCAAGGAAUAAAGUCUGCCCAUGUGGUUCAAAAAAGAAAUAUAAAGCUUGCUGCGGAUCAGUUGCUGCGAGUUCAUCUGGAACAAGACUAUUGACUCUAAGAAAUCUAGGAAGGAAAGGAAGAUGGGCAAGAAGGGUGGACCUGCUAAAGUUGAAGUGUCCUCUGGAUCUGAUGGAUUGCCACAUGACUUGGGAGCACUUUGUAUUUGAUCUUCAUCUGGCCCAGGAGACAUUUUAGCUGCAGAUUAAAGAGAGUUUGGAAUCGCAGGGAUAGGAGUUCUUGGGCAUUGUGAAUAUCCACAUGCGGAUGACCCAAUUUUCUGCGCAGGGCUUCCUCAUUAUGUUUCAAAGAGUUGCUCUUACAAUAACCGUAAUUUAUAUUGUACUGAUGUCUUCAAAUUCCGGAUAGAUGAUGAUGUGAUCCAUGAUUGCUUGGUGGUGGGAUUUUCCCCAUACAAUAUACCGGUGGUUGUGGGGAAACUGAAGAGUGAUGGUUUUCCCCUCUACAUCUAUGCAAGGCCGGAUUUUUGCAGAAGCCCACUGAACUUGAAGUGCGAGUAUAGAUUUAGAAGCAGUAGCUCGCAUAGAUGAACUUGUGCUGCCAAUCAUAUUACAAGAUGGAAACCGUGGACAGAAACUACAAUGUAGGGGUGGAGAACACAGUGCCAAACAGUUACAAUAUGUUAUUCCCCUUCACAACAAAUAAUACUCAGUCAUAGUUGUGAGUCAACCAAUGUCAUCGGCGAGCUCUGAGAUCUCGACAUGUUCGAUGAAUAUACAGCCUACAGGUCAGGUUGAGAAGCUUUUGGUAGGCAAUGGGGAGGGACCUUAAAAUCAACCAUGUUGAUCUAGCUACCAUUUGCUCCACCUACAAUAAAGUUGUUCUAAACAACAUACGUCACAUGUCCUUCGAAAAGAACCUCAUUAAUGUUGCUAAGUUAGACAAGAAAAUGAUGUCUGUAUUUUAAUUGACAACACUCUAUGUGUCGUGCAGGGCACAUGGUAAAUCGUCCUCCUCUUCAAGGACGCCUUUCAUUUAUAGGGGCUUGUAUAGUCGUACUACUAACUAUGCUACUCGAGGACAAUUUAAUAAAUCCUACUACUUACCCCUCUAUAUCCUCA